CUCCUGCCUCCGCCACGCGAUGCCUCUUCAUGGGUGGUGGAUGAAGAAACUGAACAGGGCCAUGAUCCUUAUCUGUAAUUUCCCGGCUACCACACUGCUUUGGUGGUCUUCCCUCGUCUCUUCCUGGGUAGAAACAACUACCUGGAGAUCCCAAUGUUCUUGUCAGUGCACUUUUCAUGGACUGCAGUGGUAAGACGAUGUGUUGGAUGCCCAAACACAAACCAAGAGCCCUCUACCUUCGCAAUUCCCGGUGCUGUGGAGCUGUCAGAGUUUUAACAUCUCAACCAAGCCACAUGGAUACUAUUUCCUCAGAAAAGAC
rnacentral:lncRNA from 1 species